ensembl:lncRNA
AAAAUAAGUUAGAUUUUUUAAAAAAUCACAGUAUGCCCAUCAAAAAUAUUUUUUCCUGCCUUUAAGUAUAUGUUUCAAAUGUUUUAUUUGAAAGACUCCUUAUAGGAUGAAGGCAAAAUAAUGAAUGAACUAAAAUUCACUUUACUGGUUAUGUAAAUAACAAAUUAUCUUGCUAGGGAACUCUCUCCUUUACUUGUAGGAUUUUGUUAACUUUUAUAGAUUUUGACAGUGAGAACUGUGCAGUGUGUAAAAUGUUACUUGUAUUUAAUGAAGCAAGUCAAUAUCCAUGGCCUUGUGAAGAUUAAAUUUAAUUCUUUCCUGAUUGGGAAAAUGAAAUUAACUAACUCUCCCUUGAUUAACUCCCUUUCCCAUUUUUAGAUUUAAUCACCAAAAGUGUAAACAAUGCUACUUACAGUUGAGUGGGGAGAUCUGCCCAUUUUUAGAUCUAAUCACCAAAAGUGUAAACAUUCCACUUAAUCAUUAAGUGGGGAGGCCUGUGACCCACAUGUGCAAUAGUGGGUGACAAAUCAGAAUCAAACUGACUUCCCCCGGCCAUCCUAAGCAAAGCUUCAACUGUGAUUGGCAGGCAUAAAAUUAGGGGAAGGCACAGGAAGUGACAUCAAAGAAAGUUUUAAAAGGAAGUUAUAAUUUCCUGAGUGGAGUUCAACUUCGACUUUGACUUCUUCUGGAGUUCUGAGUUCGAGUUUGAGGCUGAUAAAGAAUCUGCUGACUGGACCUGAGACCCUGUUCUGGUGAGACUGUCCUUAAAUCUCUCUCUUUUUACUGACACAUGCUCUUUCUCUGGAUGUGGAGAGUGUUCUUUCUCCUAAGUUCCUCUGGAUUGUCCUGGAUCAUUGUAUUGCUGCUAACAGAGAAGUUCAUUACAUUCAAUUGUGACACAAUGUAUAAGUCUCUGUGUAUGAUGUUCUCUUGGUUCUGCUUCUUUCACUCUGCAUCAAUUUCUGGAGGUUUUCCCAGUUCACAUGAAAUUCCUCCAGUUCAUUAUUCCUUUUAGCACAAUAGAUUCCAUUACCAUCAGAUUACCACAAUUUGCUCCCAUUCCCCAAUUGAGGGACACUCCCUUAUUUUACAAUUUUUUUUUGUCACCACAAAGAGUGUGGCUAUAAAUAUUUUUGUACACAUAUUUUUCCCUCAUCUCUUUGGGAUACAGAUCCAGCAGUGGUAUGGUAGAAAUUUCUUCAUCAAAUUUAUUCUAUGGUGGAGGAGGAAGAAAAAAAAUCACAUGGAAAUAAGACACAGGAAUGAAAGGAAAGUGACAGAUAAAAAAACAGCUUCAUUAGCAUUAUCAUUCCUAUUUGGUGUCCAUGCCAAUGGAAUAUACAGAAUCACAAAAUCUUAGAGUUUGAAGGAAGCUUAAAAGUCAUCUAGUGCUUCCUUCUUAAGUUUUCUGGGAGACAGAGAUUCCCAAAAGACCCAUAAACUCUUUUUUAUGAAGGGGCUCUCUGUUUAGAAUGCUAAAUGAUUGGGGAAUGUCCGUUUCUGUUUUGGCAACUGUCCAGUGUCCAUAUUUUAACUGUUACUUCCCAUUUUACCAUUUGCCUUUAGCAUAGAUUUAAAGUUCUAGAAGCUGGAAGUGAUUAAUAAAAAAGCUAAGCAGAAGAUAGAAGGAAUGAUG